AACACGGUACAAUUUCACCUAUACUAAAAUUAAUUAUGUACAAGAUAUAAAAAGAAAAAAGGUGAUCUUCCAACCGGCCGUGCUCACACAAACAGAAAUAAGAAAUAAUUACAAGAAAAUUAUUUUAGGUAGAUGGAAACAAUGGCAGGAUCACUUGAUGUUAAUUUGCAUGCUUCAAGUUAGAUUUAAAAUUAGCAAUAGUUGUUGAUGCUUUUACCAAUGCAGGAAGGCAGUUCCAGACUUCCGCACCUCUGUAGGAGAAUG